GACGAACGCUGGCGGCGCGCCUAACACAUGCAAGUCGAGCGAAGCGGCGAACGGGUGAGUAACGCGUGAGGAACCUGCCUCUCACAACGGGAUAGCCUCGGGAAACCGGGAUUAAUACCGCAUAGUGAGAGAUGGCCUCGCGUCUGAUUAGCUAGUUGGUGGGAUAACAGCCCACCAAGACGACGAUCAGUAACCGGCCUGAGAGGGUGAACGGUCACAUUGGAACUGAGACACGGUCCAAACUCCUACGGGAGGCAGCAGUGGGGAAUCUUGCACAAUGGGGGAAACCCUGAUGCAGCGACGCCGCGUGAGCGAAGAAGGUUUUCGAAUCGUAAAGCUCUGUCCUAUGGGAAGCGGUACCAUAGAAGAAAGCCCCGGCUAACUACGUGCCAGCAGCCGCGGUAAUUC
rnacentral:rRNA from 1 species